rnacentral:lncRNA from 1 species
CCCAUCAUAGCACUCCCCCACCCAAUAUCAAAUUCUAAAUCAUUUUAAUUCAUUGUCUCUCUCACUCUCCUUCCCCCUCUCCAUCUCCCUCUCCCUCUCCCUCUCAACGAGUCAAAAUGAAUCUACACCUCUCACUCUCCCUCACCUCAACAAGAUCCAUGAGUUGCAGCGCUGUACGCGACUCCGGGCUCUGGUCGUCGAGUGCUACAACGGCGCUGUGUGUGCUACUCGACGACUAUAACAAGGUGACGUGGGUGUGAUUUUGGGGACGACGACGAUAUAGAUGUAGUGUUUCUUCCCUCCAAUAUGUUUGGGGCGACUCCAUGCUCCAAUUGCAGUCGUUGCGACGGCACUGUACGUGCUGAUCCAAGCGCUGUAGUCAUCGUUGUAGCCACAAUGACGUGGUGUUUCUUUCCUCCGAUCAUGUGGGUUGUUUUGGGUGUUAGCGAUAAGGUGGUGGUAAUGGAGUUGGGGAUAAGGUGGAGUUGGUUUGUUUUC